ACAUGCCUAUAGCAUAGUUUUAAUUCACGGGAUCCCAUUAGAACUUUGUAGUUAAGCGCACUCAGGCUAGAGUAGUAUUGGGAUGGGUGAUCCCGGGAAGUCAUAGUGUUUUACAUGCC
rnacentral:rRNA from 1 species